UUUUAGCCCCGAUUGCAAUGGAAAUCCCGCAGUGACGACGAAAGGAGGAGCGAGGAAUUGUAAUGGAAAGCGGGACGGGAU
rnacentral:sRNA from 2 species